rnacentral:pre_miRNA from 2 species
UUUUAAGAAUAAGCAAAUAAAGUAGUUUCUUGAAAUGGAAUCUCCUCUUGGUGAAAAUGCUGUGAA